AACAUACUCAAUCUUCUACUGAGAAACUUUCCCUGUGUAAAUGGGGUCUAAUUCUUAAAAUCGACUGAUUUUAGCAACCGUAAUCGACUUCCCCAUUUCUUUUUACCCAGUAUGUAAAAAAUGGAAACUACUGAGGAAAGGUUGCAGAAGUAUCGCUUAAAAAAACGACGAGAGGAACAUUUACAACGAUUUAUAGCCAAAUUUUGGGAAAUCAUAUCACCUACAAAAGGAGUCAAAGAAGAAGUCAAUAUAUCUUCUAAAACUGCACUUCAGCAUUCAGAGAACUCACUUGUAAAAAAUAUAGAACUUGUUUCCGAAAAUCGGGACUUUAGCAGUUGUUUGCGAACUGUCGACGCUACUUUGAAAACACGCAAUUUAAGUGAUGCUAUUUUGCGCUACUUACUACAUGCAGCCUACAUAUCUCUUUGGAUAAUUUUAUAUAUUAUUGCAAUCGAACUUCAGUUCGGCAUUGUGUACCUUAUGUUAUCUGGACUAUUAAUCAUGUACAUCAACACACGCACCGGACCAAAGAGUCGAAAUGAAAUCAGUGCCUAUAGUGUUUUUAAUAAAGACUUUAAAAGCAUUGAUGGAUCUCUGAAGGCUGAACAAUUCGAACGCGAAAUAGGAAUUCGAUAAUUUCUCAGAUCAACUUUUUUUAAAGUGUGUAAUAUAUUUUCGUUUGUUCAGUAAACAUGUAUGCACAUUCUAUUGUUAAAACAAGUAAAAUUAAAAAAAAAUA